GACGAACGCUGGCGGCGUGCUUAACACAUGCAAGUCGAACGGUGAAGCGCCUUCCUUUUUGGUGGGUGUGGAUGAGUGGCGAACGGGUGAGUAACACGUGAGUAACCUGCCCCCUUUUUCUGGAUAACCGCAUGAAAGUGUGGCUAAUACGGGAUAUUCUGGGUCUGUCGCAUGAUGGGUCUGGGAAAGAUAUUGUUUCGGUGGGGGAUGGGCUCGCGGCCUAUCAGCUUGUUGGUGGGGUGAUGGCCUACCAAGGCGGUGACGGGUAGCCGGCCUGAGAGGGUGGACGGUCACACGGGGACUGAGACACGGCCCAGACUCCUACGGGAGGCAGCAGUGAAGAUUAUUGCACAAUGGGCGCAAGCCUGAUGCAGCGACGCCGCGUGAGGGAUGGAGGCCUUCGGGUUGUGAACCUCUUUCGCCAGUGAAGCAGGCCUGCCUCGUUUGUGGGUGGGUUGACGGUAGCUGGAUAAGAAGCGCCGGCUAACUACGUG
rnacentral:rRNA from 1 species